AUCUUGAUGCAACCCUUCUUUCUAUCUUGAUGCAACCAUUCUUUCUAUCUUGAUGCAACCAUUCUUUCUAUCUUGAUGUAACCAUUAUUCAUUCUGUCUUGAUGCAACCAUUCUUUCUAUCUUGAUGUAACCAUUAUUCAUUCUGUCUGGAUGUAACCAUUCUUUCUAUCUUGAUGUAACCAUUCUUUCUAUCUUGAUGUAAACAUUAUUCAUUCUGUCUGGAUGCAACCAUUUCUAAACAUUCUUAAUGCAAACCGACCUAUCUCCCCUAGCAGGGCCAUAUAUUCAAAAAGCUUCUCAGAGUGGUAGUGCUGAUCUAGGAUCAGGGUCCCCCCCUGUCCGUAUACUCUUAUUCAUUAUGAUCUAAAAGGCAAAACUGAUCCUGUAUCAGCACUCCUACUCUGAGUCUGUCUGUGAGUAUGGAUCCUAACCUGUGUGCUGGCAGGUACAAUUCCAUUACCGUGAGAAUGGCCGGGACAGGUGUGAACAGCAGUUCUCCUGGGAGUGCACCAGCGGCUACUGUAAUGGCAGUGCCAACCGACAAGGACCUGUCGUGCAGACCACCGACAAGGACCAGUCCGGCCAAAACCUCUGGUGCCAGUCGGAGGGACACUUCACUAGAAACUUCACUAGGGACCAGAAAACCCAAUCCUACACCCUGAGUGACUCAGGUUGCUGUUGGGGCUCCAAUGUCAAUGGAAAGACCAACUGGACAAUACACACCGAGGUGGAUUUGGGGUUACGGGUCAGCCCGGGGCCUCCAACCCAAAACACACCUCCUGUCACGGCAACUGUCCCAACCCUGCGAGUUCCUCAGAACUGCUUUUCCACUCUUCCUCUCUUGGCCUAUGACCCGGAUGGAGAUGACGUGAGGUGCCACUUCCCUGUGAACGUCGCACACCCCAACAUUACACUUGACAGGGUCCAGUGCACUCUGCAUGCCACGGGCCAGUUGGCUGUAGGGUUGCAUGUAUUUGAGGUGCUGCUGCAGGACCACCCCACUGUAGACGUCAACAUGACGGGAUAUAAAUCAAAUUAUACCAGAG